UUCGCAAUGCCCGAAAGGGUGACGAAGCGACGCCGCGUGGGUGAGGAAGGCCUUCGGGUUGUAAAGCCCUGUCAGGAGUUAAGAAAUGUAGACUCGCUAAUAUCGGGUCUAUUUGACAAAGGCUCCAAAGGAAGCCACGGCUAACUCUGUGCCAGCAGCCGCGGUAAUACAGAGGUGGCAAGCGUUGUUCGGAGUUAUUGGGCGUAAAGAGCACGUAGGUGGAUUUGUAAGUCAGACGUGAAAGCCUUCUGUUCAACGGAAGAAUUGCAUCUGAAACUACAAACCUUGAGUGUAGAAGGGGAGAAUGGAACUUCUGGUGGAGGGGUGAAAUGCGUAGAUAUCAGAAGGAACGCCGGCGGCGAAAGCGAUUUUCUGGCCUAUUACUGACACUCAGUGUGCGAAAGCUAGGGGAGCAAACGGGAUUAGAUACCCCGGUAGUCCUAGCCGUAAACGAUGGGCACUAAGUAGAGGGGUUUU
rnacentral:rRNA from 1 species